CCUACGGGUGGCAGCAGUCGAGAAUCAUUCACAAUGGGGGAAACCCUGAUGGUGCGACGCCGCGUGGGGGAAUGAAGGUCUUCGGAUUGUAAACCCCUGUCAUGUGGGCGCAAAUUAAAAAGAUAGUACCACAAGAGGAAGAGACGGCUAACUCUGUGCCAGCAGCCGCGGUAAUACAGAGGUCUCAAGCGUUGUCCGGAAUCACUGGGCGUAAAGGGUGCGCAGGCUGUUUCGUAAGUCGUGUGUGAAAGGCGCGGGCUCAACCCGCGGACGGCACAUGAUACUGCGAGACUAGAGUAAGGGAGAGGGAACCGGAAUUCCCAGUGUAGCAGUGAAAUGCGUAGAUAUCGGGAAGAACACUCAUGGCGAAGGCGGGUUCCUGGACAGUAACUGACGCUGAGACACGAAGGCCAGGGGAGCGAAAGGGAUUAGAUACCCGGGUAGUC
rnacentral:rRNA from 1 species